rnacentral:rRNA from 1 species
CUCAACUGUGAAUGGGCGAUGGAAACUGUAUGACUAGAGAGUGGUAGGGGUAGAGGGAAUUCCUAGUGUAGCGGUGAAAUGCGUAGAUAUUAGGAAGAACACCAGUGGCGAAGGCGCUCUACUGGGCCAUUACUGACGCUGAUGGACGAAAGCUAGGGGAGCGAAAGGGAUUAGAUACCCCUGUAGUCCUAGCUGUAAACGAUGGAUACUAGGUGUUGGCCGUAUCGACCCGGUCAGUAUCGAAGCAAACGCGUUAAGUAUCCCGCCUGGGGAGUACGCACGCAAGUGUGAAACUCAAAGGAAUUGACGGGGGCCCGCACAAGCGGUGGAGUAUGUGGUUUAAUUCGAUGCAACGCGAAGAACCUUACCAGGGGAUUGACAUCCUACGAAUCUCUUUGAAACGGAGAGAGUGCCUUCGGGAACGUAGAGACAGGUGGUGCAUGGCUGUCGUCAGCUCGUGUCGUGAGAUGUGGGUUAAGUCCCGCAACGAGCGCAACCCUCGUCCUUAGUUGCCAUCAUUAAGUUGGGCACUUUAGGGGAGACUGCCGGUGACAAACCGGAGGAAGGUGGGGAUGACGUCAAGUCAUCAUGCCCCUUACAUCCUGGGCUACACACGUACUACAAUGCAACGGACAAAGGGCAGCCAACUAGCGAUAGUGAGCUAAUCCCAUAAACCGUUGCUCAGUUCAGAUUGCAGGCUGCAACUCGCCUGCAUGAAGGCGGAAUCGCUAGUAAUCGCAGGUCAGCAUACUGCGGUGAAUACGUUCCGGGGCCUUGU